AUCUAUCAAAUACAUAGUCGAUAUAGGACUAAACAUAUGCUAGUAUAGGAAUUCACAUCUCUAAUCAAUCACUAUAGCUGUUGAGAUUCCAUAGCAACAAAAUCACUGAUUGUCCAUGAGAUGGUGCAUUUCUUUUCGAAUCAAUUUAUAUACAAAUAUUAAAUCAAUAUCAUGGCGCCUACGUUGAUAAAAACUUCCUCAUCCAAGGGCUCUCAAAGUUUGUUUCAUGUCCAAUAUACUAGUUCUAAUUGUACAGGGCAAAUAUAUUUGUCAAUGAUAGGGAAGAAU
rnacentral:lncRNA from 1 species